AUUGAACGCUGGCGGAAUGCUUUACACAUGCAAGUCGAACGGCAGCACGGACUUCGGUCUGGUGGCGAGUGGCGAACGGGUGAGUAAAACAUCGGAACGUGCCCAGUCGUGGGGGAUAACGUAGCGAAAGCUUCGCUAAUACCGCAUACGAUCUAAGGAUGAAAGCGGGGGAUCGCAAGACCUCGCGCGAUUGGAGCGGCCGAUGGCAGAUUAGGUAGUUGGUGGGGUAAAGGCUCACCAAGCCGACGAUUUGUAGCUGGUCUGAGAGGACGACCAGUCACACUGGGACUGAGACACGGCCCAGACUCCUACGGGAGGCAGCAGGGGGGAAUAUUGGACAAUGGGCGCAAGCCUGAUCCAGCCAUGCCGCGUGUGUGAAGAAGGCCUUCGGGUUGUAAAGCACUUUUGUUGGGGAAGAAAAGCUUUCGGUUAAUACCCGGGAGUUCUGACGGUACCCAAAGAAUAAGCACCGGCUAACUUCGUGCCAGCAGCCGCCGUAACAC
rnacentral:rRNA from 1 species